rnacentral:rRNA from 1 species
GAGGGGGUGCAAACGUUAUUCGGAUUUACUGGGUGUAAAGGGUGUGUAGACGGGUUGUUAAGGUUCGUUGUUAAAUCUUCCGGGCCUAACCGGGAAGCUCGCGAUGGAAACUGGCAGUCUUGAGGAUGGAAGAGAGAAGUGGAAUUCUCGGAGUAGCGGUAAAAUGCGUAGAUCUCGAGAGGAACACCGAUGGCGAAGGCAGCUUCUUGGUCCAUUCCUGACGUUGAGACACGAAAGCGUGGGGAGCAAACAGGAUUAGAUACCCUGGUAGUCCACGCUGUAAACGAUGAUCACUAGAUGUUGGCCCUGUUUUGCAGGGUUAGUAUCGAAGCUAACGCGUUAAGUGAUCCACCUGGGAACUACGAUCGCAAGAUUA